UACGUAGGCAGCGAGCGUUGUUCGGAGUUACUGGGCGUAAAGGGCGGGUAGGCGGCCACCGCAAGUCAGUUGUGAAAUCUCUGGGCUUAACCCAGAAAGGUCAACUGAUACUGCGGGGCUAGAGUGCAGAAGGGGCAACUGGAAUUCUCGGUGUAGCGGUGAAAUGCGUAGAUAUCGAGAGGAACACCUGCGGCGAAGGCGGGUUGCUGGGCUGACACUGACGCUGAACUGCGAAAGCUAGGGGAGCGAACGGG
rnacentral:rRNA from 1 species